AUGGUGCAAAUAGCUUAUUGAUGGGUUAUGAAGCCCAAAGUCCAAGCAAGACUAAUGGCCAGGAGGUAUGUGCAUAUGUAUGGUGUGGAAAGCAUGUUUGGAUGGGCCUUGCUCAAGCGUUACAGAUGCAAACACGGAAGGACUCAAACAUAGAAGCAUCAUAUGAGGAUACCUCAACCUCACGUGGCUGUCCCCCUCUUUCAUGCUUUCAAGUUCUUCGUCUAAACCACAACAACUCCGUCGCGCCGGAGCUCAUCACCAGCGGCGACGGAGCAUGAAACCACAUCAAACCUACACCGUUCCACUCGUUUCGUCAUCCUCUAUUCAAAUUCCUAGUCAAUUUUGCACGAUUAUGGCUAAAAGUCCAAAUCGAGCCUUUCUAACUAUGAACCCUAAGUUAUAACAUCAUAAAUUAAAUCCUCCGUUGGAGGAAUCAAAGUCCCUAGGGUUAGGGCUUUGAUUCCUUAAGUACUAAUAUACAUACCGGUAAGCGAUUUAAAGCAGAACUAAGCAUAAUUUGGACUUACCUGCCAGAGAAGAUGAAGAUGACAACGGCGACGAAGACGCAUAAGUGUAACCGGUUACCACUAUGAAAGUUGGUGCUCUAGACUGCAAUAAGGGGCCACGUGAAGCAGGUGUAACCGGUUACCCACAUGAAGGUUGGUGGUUCCUGGGUGCAAACAAGGUUAUGUGAAGCAGGUGUAACCGGUUACCGUAACCAGUUACCAACACAAUAAUGAGGGUUCUGGGUUACAUGAUGAGCCUGUGUGCAGCUGGCGUAACCGGUUACCAUACAAAAAAUGGUGUUUUGGGGUUCAACUUUAUGCUAACUUGAAGGUGCAUCAUGGAGAACGGAAUGGUAGCUGCAAAGUUCAAAGUUCCUUUCAUUUGGCACUUGAUUUAAGCUAUGUAUGGUGAUUCUAUGUAUUUAUUAAGUAACAUGAGAAUGUAAAUGCAAAUGCAAAUGCAAACUAUGCUUAUGUAAUGAACAUUAAUCAAUUCAAUUUUAUGAUUCAAGAUUAAAUCAAA